rnacentral:lncRNA from 1 species
AGUACCUCAGAGCUUCAUCCCUGCUCUUCGCAGCCUCUUUGUAUUCCUCAGAAUCCCCCCUCUGCUCUUCGCCCUCCUCUUCAGAGGAGCCUCCGCCACGUUUGUGGAGCUUCUUCUUGUGAUGGUAUCGGUGUGUUGGUUUCCAUAUGCGCUUUUCAAUUUCACCGUCUUCCUUUUCGUGCCUUUUCUCGAAGCCCCAGUACUCCUGGCUGCGCUCUUCUUCUGGCUCUUCCCUCUUUUCUUCUGAGAGCUCUUCAUCACGUUUGGUUCUCCUCUGGUGGUACCUGCCGGGUCGCCAGUUCCUUUUUUCCCUUCCAGUAUCAAAAUCCCAGUAUUCCUGGCUUCGAUCUUCAUCUGGAUCUUCCCUCUUUUCUUCCGAGAGCUCUUCAUCACGUUUGGUUCUCCUCUGAUGGUACCUGCCGGGUCGCCAGUUUCUUUUUUCCCUUCCAGUAUCAAAAUCCCAGUAUUCCUGGCUUCGAUCUUCAUCUGGAUCUUCCCUCUUUUCUUCCGAGAGCUCUUCAUCACGUUUGGUUCUCCUCUGGUGGUACCUGCCGGGUCGCCAGUUCCUUUUUUCCCUUCCAGUAUCAAAAUCCCAGUAUUCCUGGCUUCGAUCUUCAUCUGGAUCUUCCCUCUUUUCUUCCGAGAGCUCUUCGUCACGUUUGUGCCUCCUCUGGUGGUACCUGCCAGGCCUCCAGUUUCUUUUUUCCCUUCCAGUAUCAAAAUCCCAGUAUUCCUGGCUUCGUUCUUCAUCUGGCUCCUCUCUGGCUUCUUCAUCUGAGAGCUCUUCAUCGCGUUUGUGCCUCCUCUGGUGGUACCUGCCAGGUCUCCAUUCCCUCUUGUCCAUUUCAUCAAGACCCCAAGAUUCCUGGCUGCGAUCGUCGUAUUCUUCCCCGUCUGAUGGUUCGUCACUGCGUUUGUGGAACUUUUUCUUGUGGUGGUAGCGAUGUGUGGGUUUCCAUAUGCGCUUGUAUCUUUCCUCCUGAUCCUCAUUCCCGUGCCUUUUAUCUACAUCCCAAGACUCUUGGCUACGUUCUUCCUCCGGCUCUUCCCGCUCUUCGUCUUCAGGUUCCUCGUCUCGUUUCUGUUUUUUCUGGUGAUACCUGCCAGGUUUCCAUUUCCUCUUCUCUCUCUCCUCACCUUCCCCUUCCUCCUCAUCCCUCUUUUCUUCUGUCCCCCAGCUCUCUUGACUGCGCUCGUUGUCCUCGUCUCGUUUAUGUUUUUUUUGGUGGAAUCUUCCCGGUCUCCAGCUGCUCCUUUUCUCUCGCUCUUCCUCCUCCUUUUGGUUCUCGUGUCUUUUGUCCUUCUCAUCACCGAGACUCCAAGAUUCCUGACUGCGCUCAUCUUCUGGGUUUUCCCUCUUUUCCUCUACAGUCUUUAGGAGUGCCUCGAUGUCUUGGACAUCUGCUGCCUUUGCAUCAGGCUGCACAGCAUGACUGUUAA